GCCGGGCGCCGUGGCUUGUGAUCCCAGCUCCUAGGAGGCUGAGGCUGGCGGAUCACUUGAGCUUAGGAGUUCUGGGCUGCAGUGGGCUAUGCCGAUCGGGUGUCCGCACUAAGUUCGGCAUCAAUAUGGUGAUCCCUGGGAAACUUCAGGUUGCCUAAGGAGGGGUGAACCGGCCCAGGUCGGGAAUGGAGCAGAUCAAAACUCCCGUGCCGAUCAGUAGUGGGAUCGCGCCUGUGAAUAGCCACUGCAGCGUAGCCUGGGCAAGACAGUGAGACACGGUCUCU
rnacentral:SRP_RNA from 1 species